rnacentral:lncRNA from 1 species
AAACAAUUUUGUCAUCUAUCCAAUAUAUGAAGGAGAUUAGCCUUACAUGAUGUUGGAAUUAAAUAAAUAAAAGUGGAACGACAUCACCGAUUAUUGACGAAACGUAAUUAAUUUCAAAUUCUUGGCACCAUCCUUGACGAAUUAUUUGCACCAAAAAAGUUCUGGAAUUUUAUCUCUCUGCCACGUUCAGUCCGUCCGUCUCCAAGUAAUCUGCCACUUUUAUUGUUAAUUCCACAAUUCGAUGUUAGCCCAACGCCUAUUUUUCUGUCUUCUCCACCAGCUGCCUUCUGCUUCGUUUUUCUCCUCUGUUUCAGCCCCAAAAAUGUGUUGGAAAAUAUAUAAUAUAGGCAGCCUAAUUGAUUCCCCCAAACUGCCGACCAGCCGUCAAUGUGUAAAAUUAUAUAAAUAGUGGCUGCCUUUGUUUUGGCGUGUAAUUAUAUUGGCUGCCACCCUCUCCAAUUUCCUCCAGCAGCCGGCCAGCCCUCAAUGUGUGUGUGCCAAUUAUAAUAUUGCUGCCUCUGUUUUUGCGUGAGAAUUGAGAUGUAUACUAUAAUUUAGCCAUAUUGCUGCCUCUGUUUUUGCGUGAGAAUUGAGAUGUAUACUAUAAUUUAGCCAUAUUGCUGCCUCUGUUUUUGCGUGAGAAUUGAGAUGUAUACUAUAAUUUAGCCCACAAUUCUCCCCGAUUUUGGCGCGUGAAUGUCAGAAUGUGAAUACUAUUGGCUCACCCAAG